rnacentral:rRNA from 1 species
UGGGGAAUAUUGGACAAUGGGCGGAAGCCUGAUCCAGCCAUGCCGCGUGUGUGAAGAAGGCCUUUUGGUUGUAAAGCACUUUAAGCGAGGAGGAGGCUACUUGGAUUAAUACUCUAGGAUAGUGGACGUUACUCGCAGAAUAAGCACCGGCUAACUCUGUGCCAGCAGCCGCGGUAAUACAGAGGGUGCGAGCGUUAAUCGGAUUUACUGGGCGUAAAGCGUGCGUAGGCGGCUUCUUAAGUCGGAUGUGAAAUCCCUGAGCUUAACUUAGGAAUUGCAUUCGAUACUGGGAAGCUAGAGUAUGGGAGAGGAUAGUAGAAUUCCAGGUGUAGCGGUGAAAUGCGUAGAGAUCUGGAGGAAUACCGAUGGCGAAGGCAGCCAUCUGGCCUAAUACUGACGCUGAGGUACGAAAGCAUGGGGAGCAAACAGG